rnacentral:rRNA from 1 species
AUUGAACGCUGGCGGCAUGCCUUACACAUGCAAGUCGAACGGCAGCACGGGAGCUUGCCCCUGGUGGCGAGUGGCGAACGGGUGAGUAAUACAUCGGAACGUACCCGGUAGUGGGGGAUAACGCAACGACAGGUGCGCUAAUACAGCAUACGCCCUACGGGUGACAGCGGGGGACCGUAAGGCCUCGCGCUAUAUGAGCGUCCGAUGUCUGAUUAGCUAGUUGGUGAGGUAAAGGCUCACCAAGGCUUCGAUCAGUAGCUGGUCUGAGAGGACGAUCAGCCACACUGGGACUGAGACACGGCCCAGACUCCUACGGGAGGCAGCAGUGGGGAAUUUUGGACAAUGGGCGAAAGCCUGAUCCAGCAAUGCCGCGUGUGCGAAGAAGGCCUUCGGGUUGUAAAGCACUUUUGUCAGGGAAGAAAUCUUUUAGGCUAAUACCCUGGAAGGAUGACGGUACCUGAAGAAUAAGCACCGGCUAACUACGUGCCAGCCGCCGCCGUAA